AGUGGGGAAUCUUGGACAAUGGGGGCAACCCUGAUCCAGCCAUGCCGCGUGAGUGAUGAAGGCCCUAGGGUCGUAAAGCUCUUUCGCCUGUGAAGAUAAUGACGGUAGCAGGUAAAGAAACCCCGGCUAACUCCGUGCCAGCAGCCGCGGUAAUACGGAGGGGGUUAGCGUUGUUCGGAAUUACUGGGCGUAAAGCGCACGUAGGCGGAUCGGAAAGUUGGGGGUGAAAUCCCGGGGCUCAACCCCGGAACUGCCUCCAAAACUAUCGGUCUAGAGUUCGAGAGAGGUGAGUGGAAUUCCGAGUGUAGAGGUGAAAUUCGUAGAUAUUCGGAGGAACACCAGUGGCGAAGGCGGCUCACUGGCUCGAUACUGACGCUGAGGUGCGAAAGUGUGGGGAGCAAA
rnacentral:rRNA from 1 species